rnacentral:rRNA from 1 species
UUGUAGGCUGCAACUCGCCUACAUGAAGUCGGAAUCGCUAGUAAUCGCGGAUCAGCACGCCGCGGUGAAUACGUUCCCGGGCCUUGUACACACCGCCCGUCACACCACGAGAGUUUGUAACACCCGAAGUCGGUGAGGUAACCGUAAGGAGCCAGCCGCCUAAGGUGGGAUAGAUGAUUGGGGUGAAGUCGUAACAAGGUAGCCGUAUCGGAAGGUGCGGCUGGAUCACCUCCUUUCUAAGGA